rnacentral:misc_RNA from 1 species
UCACCGCAAGGUUGAAACUCAAAGGAACUGACGGGGGUCCGCACAAGCGGUGGAGCAUGUGGUUUAAUUCGAUGCUACGCGAGGAACCUUACCUGGGCUAGACAUGCAGGGGAAAGGCUCGAGAAACCGAGUCCCCUCUUCGGAGUCCCUGCACAGGUGCUGCAUGGCUGUCGUCGGCUCGUAUCGUGAGAUGUUGGGUUAAGUCCCGCAACGAGCGCAACCCCCGCUCCCAGUUGCUACCGGGUCAUGCCGAGGACUCUGGGAGGACUGCCGGUGCCAAACCGGAGGAAGGUGGGGAUGACGUGUCUGUACCAUAGA